GACGAACGCUGGCGGCGUGCUUAACACAUGCAAGUCGAACGAAGAGCGAUGGAAGCUUGCUUCUAUCAAUCUUAGUGGCGAACGGGUGAGUAACGCGUAAUCAACCUGCCCUUCAGAGGGGGACAACAGUUGGAAACGACUGCUAAUACCGCAUACGAUCUAAACUCGGCAUCGAGGAUAGAUGAAAGGUGGCCUCUACAUGUAAGCUAUCACUGAAGGAGGGGAUUGCGUCUGAUUAGCUAGUUGGAGGGGUAACGGCCCACCAAGGCGAUGAUCAGUAGCCGGUCUGAGUGGAUGAACGGCCACAUUGGGACUGAGACACGGCCCAGACGCCUACGGGAGGGAGCAGGGGGGAAUCGUGCGCAAUGGGCGAAAGUCUGACGGAGCAACGCCGCGGGAGUGAUGACGGCCUUCGGGUUGUAAAGCUCUGUUAAUCGGGACGAAAGGCCUUCUUGCGAAUAGUGAGAAGGAUUGACGGUACCGGAAUAGAAAGCCACGGCUAACUACGUG
rnacentral:rRNA from 1 species